CCCCUCUCAGAGUCACAACUGGAAAGUUCUAGUACUCUACCAGUCUUGGCUGUGGGAGGGAGAGUCAAGAAGAGGCCUAUCCAUUCCAUUCCUAGCCUGGCCAGUGGCUAACGAGUGGAAGACAAUCUGCUACAAGU